rnacentral:rRNA from 1 species
UGGGGAAUCUUGCGCAAUGGGCGAAAGCCUGACGCAGCGACGCCGCGUGAGGGAAGAAGGCCUUCGGGUUGUAAACCUCUUUCAGGAGGGACGAAGCCACUCGGGUUAAUACCCCAGAGGGUGACGGUACCUCCAGAAGAAGCCCCGGCUAACUACGUGCCAGCAGCCGCGGUAAUACGUAGGGGGCAAGCGUUGUCCGGAAUUAUUGGGCGUAAAGCGCGUGUAGGCGGCCAGAUAAGUCCGCUGUGAAAUCUCGAGGCUCAACUUCGAGCUGUCGGUGGAAACUGUCUGGCUAGAGUCCGGAAGAGGAGAAUGGAAUUCCUGGUGUAGCGGUGAAAUGCGCAGAUAUCAGGAAGAACACCCGUGGCGAAGGCGGUUCUCUGGGACGGUACUGACGCUGAGACGCGAAAGCGUGGGGAGCGAACAGG